rnacentral:lncRNA from 1 species
ACGCAACCACAAACGCCAGGUCCAUUCCCACCACCGCCGCCGCCACUGCCAUCUAUAUUGCCACCGCUUCUGCAACAAUUUGCUCAAAAUACUGGAGGAAUGGUCGGAGUGGGAGGACCUUUUGGGAUGAUGGCUGGCUCAAUUCCACCUCCGCCUCCAUUGUCGCUGCCGGCAGGUUUCCCGGGACUAAGUGGGCCACCUCCUCCACCUCCACCUCCACCAGCUCAGAACCAGCCCCAGCAGCAGCAGUCUCCGCAGCCACCACAGCAAUCACCAACAUCAGCCGGAUUCUUUCAAACAUCAAGCAUGGGGUUCUUUCCGCCGGUGCAGGUGCAGCAAUCUCCAUCU